rnacentral:rRNA from 1 species
AGUGAACGCUGGCGGUAGGCCUAACACAUGCAAGUCGAACGGCAGCACAGUAAGAGCUUGCUCUUACGGGUGGCGAGUGGCGGACGGGUGAGGAAUACAUCGGAAUCUACUUUUUCGUGGGGGAUAACGUAGGGAAACUUACGCUAAUACCGCAUACGAACUACGGGUGAAAGCAGGGGAUCUUCGGCCCUUGCGCGAUUGAAUGAGCCGAUGUCGGAUUAGCUAGUUGGCGGGGUAAAGGCCCACCAAGGCGACGAUCCGUAGCUGGUCUGAGAGGAUGAUCAGCCACACUGGAACUGAGACACGGUCCAGACUCCUACGGGAGGCAGCAGUGGGGAAUAUUGGACAAUGGGCGCAAGCCUGAUCCAGCCAUACCGCGUGUGUGAAGAAGGCCUUCGGGUUGUAAAGCCCUUUUGUUGGGAAAGAAAAGCAGCAGGUUGAUACCCCGCUGUUCUGACGUUACCCAAAGAAUAAGCACCGGCUAACUUCGUG